UACGGAGGGUGCAAGCGUUAUCCGGAUUCACUGGGUUUAAAGGGUGCGUAGGUGGGUCUGUAAGUCAGUGGUGAAAUCUCCGAGCUUAACUCGGAAACUGCCAUUGAUACUAUAGGUCUUGAAUUAUUCUGGAGGGUAAGCGGAAUAUGUCAUGUAGCGGUGAAAUGCUUAGAUAUGACAUAGAACACCAAUUGCGAAAGGCAGCUUACUACAGGAAAUAUUGACACUGAUGCACGAAAAGCGUGGGGGGAUCAAAACAG
rnacentral:rRNA from 1 species